UCAUAUCAUGCUGAAACACCAGUUCUCAUACAAUCACUGAAGUUAAGCAACAUCAAACCUGGUCAGUACCUAGAUGGGUGACCACUUGGGAAAAGCAGUUGCUGUAU